AAAAGUUUACUCAACCUGUCUUCUGUUGAACUGUUCCAAGUCGCCAAAAGCAUCGGUCCAAUACCAGGGAAGGACUUCUCAGAACUUGACGUUGAGGAUCAAGAGGGCUGUCUUGAAUACAUAAAUGCCUUCAUGUACAGCACUCACCUGUUAGAAUCAGAGGACAGAGACCAUCUGAAUACAGGUGGUGAAAGACGAAUGGAGGAUAUAAAUCUGCAUAGGGAAGUCACUCGCAGAUAAAGAGACCAGACUACAGAUUACUGAGCUGCGUCUCUAUGAAGAGUGAGUCAUCUAUGGAUCCUCCUUUUAUAUACACAGAUGAAGAGUCCUCAACUGGACCCAGUGUAACGCAGAAAAAAAGGCCAGACUCACCAUCACCCAGCCGUUCUUCAAUGAUGAGUGAUUCAUCUAUGGAUUUUCCUGUUUAUUUUAAAGCUGGAGAGUCUUCAUCUGGACACAGGUAUUUUAUCUUUACAUUGCUCAAAGUUUCUAGAUUUUUCAGUCCAGAACAUUUGCAAAAUUCUUGUAGAAAACGUGUAAGAAUUAAACAUCACUGCAUCAGGAGCUAUAACAACCAGUUAAAUAGUCAUAUGUGUGCAUGCAAGUAUAUUUCACCAUUCAUCAUUUAUUUACAAAAAGUCUUCAUUUUAGCAAAAUUACUGCAUCCAGCUACAAAAUCAAGUUAUUGGAAACAAGAAUUAGGCAUUGAAAAAAGGAAAAACAUAUGACUUCUCUAAACUUUUACAAAAUUAAUUUUUUUUGUACUUUUUCACCUGCAGGGAGAAAAAAAUAAUUUAACAAUUCCUUAAAAAACAAAACAAAAAAACAAAGAAUGUAAAAACAAAAACUUACAUGUUGGGUCUUAAAUGCAAAAUUCACAGAGAAAUGAAACACAGGUGGCGAUGAUUCGCUUUAAAAAGUACAGUGGAAAAAAGUAGGGAAUGGAGACAUCUGGUGGACAAAGUGUGGCAUAAUCUUAAAAAUUCUGCGAGCACUUGGAAGUGCAUAUCAAUGGAACAACUUUAAAAACAAUAUACUGAGUGGUAAAUGGGCAAAAACUUAAGUGGCUAACAUUCUGACUUUAAAAAGACUAAUUUAAUCAAUUACAAUAUUUAGAAAGAAAAUAAGUUUAUUGAAAUUAAACUU